GCUAAGGAUAUUAUUUUUUUGCUAACGUGACAACAUUGGUCACUCACAUGUCGCCACAUGGCGUCUUUGGCCCUUUUUUCUUUUUAUUUUCUUUCUCAUCUUUCUCUUUUUCUUUUCUUCUUUUUCUUUUUCCUACCCUAAUCGUCGUGCUUCUACACCGUUGGCCACCGUCUGGCUUUCUUUCGUCUGCUUUUGUUUGCUAGUAUGAGAGUAAGGCAGCAAGGUACCACCUUGGUUUUGCAGCAAGGCAAUUGCAAAUUUUCAAGAUGGUUUCAUUAAAGACGACAGUGAAACACUUGAAUCCGAAAAUGGUACCUCUGAAAUGGGUUUCAGCCCAGAGAAUUCGAACAAUCGACACGUUGGAAUAUGGUAUAAAUUUUCAAGCACCACCGUCGUUCGGGUCACUAACAGGGAAGCUCCGAUUUCAGAUUAUAAUGGAGUUUUAAGGUUUGAGAACAAUGGAAUCCCUACACUUUUCAAUGAAACCAACGGCGUCGUUUGGUAUACUAACCCAAACACAUCAAGUAAUCCCCACGAACUUGUUUUACAGCUUUUCGAUUCAGGAAAUCUCGUAGUGAAAGAGAAAAACGAUGAUGAUUCAAAGAAUUUUUUCUGGGAAAGUUUUGAUUUCCCUUGUGAUAAUAUUUUGCUCAGGAUGAAGAUUGGGAUAAACUUAAUCACUGGUUUCGAGUACUAUAUAUCGUCAUGGAAAUCAUCAGGUGCAAAUUUACUACUUUUUGCUACCUUGCUCUCGUAUUAGUAGACAAAAACAGACGGAAGAAGGUCAAACGGCAGUUGUCAUUGGUCAGAGAGCUAGGCUGGACGGUGGCCAGCAGUGUAGAAGCACGACGGCUAGGUUAGGAAAAGGAAGAAAAGAAAAUGAGGGAAAAUGAGAAAAAAAAAAAGAGAUAAAAAGAUAAAUAGGCCAAAAGCGGAUGCCACAUGGUGGCGCAUGAGUGGCAUGUAUUGCCAUGUCAAUAAAAAAAUAAUGGCGUUAGACUUGGGUACCAAUACAGUGGACGGAAAAAAAAAAGUUUGGAUAUUAAUCUGAGACAAAAAAAUCAGAAGUAUCAAUAUGGGAGAAUUUGACAAGUUUAGGCACUAAUUUUAUAUUUAACCCUUAUUUAAAUUGAAACUUCGUCUAUCAAUUUUAGUGACGAAUGACUUUCGUUAAUUUAAUAAUUACUUUUAUUUACCGAAAA